rnacentral:rRNA from 1 species
UACGAAGGGGGCUAGCGUUGUUCGGAAUUACUGGGCGUAAAGCGCACGUAGGCGGAUCGAUCAGUCAGGGGUGAAAUCCCAGGGCUCAACCCUGGAACUGCCUUUGAUACUGUCGAUCUGGAGUAUGGAAGAGGUGAGUGGAAUUCCGAGUGUAGAGGUGAAAUUCGUAGAUAUUCGGAGGAACACCAGUGGCGAAGGGCGGACUCACUGGUCCAUUACUGACGCUGAGGUGCGAAAAGCGUGGGGAGCAAACAGGGAUUAAGAU